rnacentral:rRNA from 1 species
UACGUAGGGUGCGAGCGUUGUCCGGAAUUAUUGGGCGUAAAGAGCUUGUAGGCGGUUUGUCGCGUCUGCUGUGAAAAUCCGGGGCUCAACCCCGGACUUGCAGUGGGUACGGGCAGACUAGAGUGUGGUAGGGGAGACGUGGAAUUCCUGGUGUAGCGGUGAAAUGCGCAGAUAUCAGGAGGAACACCGAUGGCGAAGGCAGGUCUCUGGGCCACUACUGACACUGAGAAGCGAAAGCAUGGGGAGCGAACAGG